UGGGGAAUUUUGGACAAUGGGCGAAAGCCUGAUCCAGCAAUGCCGCGUGUGUGAAGAAGGCCUUCGGGUUGUAAAGCACUUUUGUCCGGAAAGAAAUCCUUGGCUCUAAUACAGUCGGGGGAUGACGGUACCGGAAGAAUAAGCACCGGCUAACUACGUGCCAGCAGCCGCGGUAAUACGUAGGGUGCAAGCGUUAAUCGGAAUUACUGGGCGUAAAGCGUGCGCAGGCGGUUUGCUAAGACCGAUGUGAAAUCCCCGGGCUCAACCUGGGAACUGCAUUGGUGACUGGCAGGCUAGAGUAUGGCAGAGGGGGGUAGAAUUCCACGUGUAGCAGUGAAAUGCGUAGAGAUGUGGAGGAAUACCGAUGGCGAAGGCAGCCCCCUGGGCCAAUACUGACGCUCAUGCACGAAAGCGUGGGGAGCAAACAGGAUUAGAUACCCUGGUAGUCCACGCCCUAAACGAUGUCAACUAGUUGUUGGGAUUCAUUUCCUUAGUAACGUAGCUAACGCGUGAAGUUGACCGCCUGGGGAGUACGGUCGCAAGAUUAAAACUCAAAGGAAUUGACGGGGUCAUAGCUG
rnacentral:rRNA from 1 species